UAUAGGAGUGCCCCUAGCAGCCCAUCUCUCAUCUUUGACAGAGAUAACUGUGGGUUUGAACCUCUCACCAGACAUUCCCAGAGAAAGCACAGCCGGAUGCACUCUGAGCUUUGUGAGUUUGGAUUCUCCAUCAUCAGUUCCUUUCAGUGUUCCUCCUGGGACUGCUCUGAUUCUUCAACCUGUACCUGUGUGGAGUCUCUCUUCUGUGUAGGAUCCGGCUUACAGAAUCUCUGCUGAAUGCAUCAUGCAUCGGAGGCGUCGGAAGGUUGUAGGAAUACUCUGGACGAAGCUGUGGUCUGUGCUUGGAGUGCAGAAGUCAUCUCCCAGGAGCCCUUGAUGCACGAGCAUCAAGAAGACCCCACGAGGCCCACAUGAGUCAUCUAAGUUUCUCGUCUCCCUUGAAUUUGUCAUAUGCAGGAAAUGUCCCCACUGCCAGUCUCCUGCACUCCCAUCCUGAGUGCUGAAGUUGGGAUGAUGCUGAGUUGGAAAACUGAAGAGGAAAGAUGAAUGUGCCACAGUGUCCACUUAGAAACUACAGCCAAGUCUUGGCAACUUAUCCGUGAGGUUGUCGAUGUGGACCUGCCCUUCUGUUGUACAACGAUGUUCUACAUUCGAGGGAGAAACUAUCUGAGAGUCUGGACCUCACUCUGCAAGAAUUUCUUGGCUACUCAUGAAGGCAAAAGGCAAGACGAUGGGUAGAGACAAUGGGAUCGUUUCUGUGAACAAAUGCCAUAACAUUCCAUAAAGGUCUGGAGUUGCAUCACCAUGUUAGUGACUGAAGCCAUGAGACUCAGCCAAUAAUACCGUGGGUUUGAUAAUUGCAUAGUUGUGGGUUUAUGAUGCUCUGGAGUCGGAGAGCUGCCUUGGCACAUACAGGUCAGCCAUUUAUGUGCAUGUGUGUUUUGUAUUUAUGAGAUGUGUGCACCUACUUAGGAAGUGAAGUAUAAUAUUUCUCGUGUAAAAUAUGGAAGAGAAGUUUAAAAGUCAAGUGAUGCUCCGAUGCUAACAUGUUAGCUUUCCUCACCUUUUGAAGAGCACAGGAUCCCUACUUAAAAAUUCAAAGGUCCCAUUUGUUUGUCAUGCAGCACAUGCCUGUGAGGGAG